rnacentral:lncRNA from 1 species
CCGGAUCCGGGGCGUCAAACCCGGGGAAUGCCGGCGUCCGCCAACCGCAGCGGCGAGCUCAGAUUUGAAAAUUCUCGGGCGCGGGGGGCACUCCGCCUCGAGCCCCGACGCAUCCACCGAGCGAAUUCGGUGCAGAUUCCGCGGGAUCGGGCGGUGGGCUCGGGCUGGGGGUUUUGCACUUCCCCGGCGGAUUUGGGGAAUGGCGGCGGCGGCGAGAUCUCGCCUUGGGUUGGGUUGGGAAGGAGAGCGGAGGCGAAGAGGGAGUGGGCGAAAGGGUUCAAGAUUCUUUCGAGACGAUGAGGAGGGGGAGGGAGUGAGGGCCCACUAAGGUGGUAGAGUGUGGGGCC